CUACCUCUCAAGCCAUACGGCUUUGAUCAAGUGUAGUAUCUGUUUCUGUCAGUGUAAGAACUGGCAUUGUCUUUCUUGAAAGACAAACGCAUUUAUUGGGACUGGUGCUGUGCUCAAGCAUUGCAGUGUGCUUGCAUGCUGCAUGUUUU
rfam:Vavraia culicis subsp. floridensis unplaced genomic scaffold supercont1.2, whole genome shotgun sequence.